rnacentral:rRNA from 1 species
AGGAUGAACGCUGGCGGUGUGCCUAAUACAUGCAAGUCGAACGGGAUCUUCGGAUCUAGUGGCGGACGGGUGAGUAACACGUUGGUACCUACCCCUAAGUGGGGAAUAACUGCCCGAAAGGGUGGCUAAUACCGCAUAAUCCCGCAAGGGUAAAGCAGUAAUGCGCUUAGGGAGGGGCCUGCGUCUGAUUAGCUAGUUGGUAGGGUAAUGGCCUACCAAGGCGACGAUCAGUAGCUGGAUCGAGAGGUUGACCAGCCACACUGGGACUGAGAUACGGCCCAGACUCCUACGGGAGGCAGCAGUAAGGAAUCUUCCACAAUGGACGAAAGUCUGAUGGAGCAACACCGCGUGCAGGAUGACGGUCUUCGGAUUGUAAACUGCUUUUAUAUGGGAAGAUUAUGACGGUACCAUAUGAAUAAGGACCGGCUAACUACGUGCCAGCAGCCGC